UCACAGCUCAUUGGAGGACCGGACCUGAGGGGAUACGGCUCGUAUUGAGCACACUAUGCUGACAAUGUGCUGGGACUUUACUUUGCAAUCUCCCACGAGACGAACUGGGGGUAUGGGUGGUCUGGCGGUCUCUUGUGAGGGGCCGCUUUACUUAGGUGCCGAGCUAUUGUUUGUAUGCCCAAUUUUGCAGUCUCACCCUGUUAAAUCUCUCAACAGCGGGCAAUCAUCUAGUUUUGUUUUGUUGAUGUCACUUCGGUGGCUUCUGU